ensembl:lncRNA
AUGUUACAACCACAACCCUCUCCUAAUAUGUCCCUGAAUAUCAUUAUAGAUCUCUCCCUUUCUCUCUCUUCUCCCCUCUCUCCUUCUCUCCCUCUCUUCAUCUCUCCCUUUUUCUCCCAUUCUCUCUCUCUUCCUCCCUCCCUCUCCCUCCCUCUCUUUCUCCACCUUUCUCUCUCGCUCCCCCUCUCUAUAUACACACAAACAUACAUAUUAUAUAUAUGUAAUGUAAUUACAGAUAUUCUGGAAAUUGACAACACAGACUAUAAUGGUCAACAGAAUGGACAUUGUAUGUAGGCACUAGCCUGAUAACCAAUUUCCUCUCAAAUGACUCUAUGUCAGAAGCUGAUGCAAUUUAAUCAGUGUAAAUGACAGUAAAAAAGAAACUUUAUCAUCUGCUUUGCCACUAAGUCUCAUGGGAUAUUUUCUUCUUAAAAAUUGUUUAAAUUACAUUUUGAGUUCCAAUUUGUCUCCCUCCAUCCCUGCAUUAGAAAAAGCAAAUAUUUGAUACAGAUAUAUGUAUGUGGAACCAUACAGAAAUACAUAUAUCAGCUAUUCUGAUAUAUGCAUUUUCCUUUAUAAGACCACCUUAGUUGAUAUCAAUGACUGUAUUACUUAAAAUAGUUUAGUCAUUGAUAAUUACUCUUCGAACCAUAUGGCUAUUACUCUAUACAAGGUUCUCUUGGUUCUGCUUAUUUCACUGCAUUAUUUCAUUUAAGUUUUUCCAUGUUUUUCUUUUAUUUUUAUUAUUUUUUAAGAACAAAACCCUUCCCUUUUCAGAAUCAAUACUAAAUAUUAGUUCUAAGGCAGCCAGGUGGUGUCUGAGGACAAAUUUGAUUUCAGGGCCUUAAAUAUGACUUUUUUUUUUUUUUUUAAGGCAAACAAGAAUAAGUGACUUGCCCAGGGUCACAUGCUACUAAGUGGCUGAGGCUGGAUUUGAACUUGGGUCCUCCUGACUCAAAGCCCAGUGCUCUAUCCUCUGUUCCAUCUAGUUGCUCAUUAUGUUUUUCUAAAACCAAAUUGCACAUUUUUUCUUAGAGCACUGUAGUAUUUCAUCACAAUCAUAUGCCACAACUUGUUCAGUCAUUCUCCAAUUGAUGGGCAUCCCUUCAAUUUGCAAUUCUUUGCCACCACAAAGAGAGCUACUAUAAAUAUUUGAUAACAAAUAAGUUCUUUUCUUUUUUCUCUGAUCACCUUGGUAAAGAGACCUAAUAAUGGUACUGCUAGAUCACAGUUUUUUAACUCUUUCAGCAUAUUCCAAACUGUUCUCCAAAAUGGUUGGAUCAAUUCACAAUUCUACCAAUAGUUUAUAUGACCCAACUUUUAGACAUCCCCUCCAACAUUUGUCAUUUUUUUCCUUCUUUCAUUUUGACCAAUAUGGUAUGAAAUGGUAUCUCAGAACUGCUUUAAUUGGUAUUUCUCUAAUCAACAAUGAUUUAGAGUAUUCUUUCAUAUAACUAGAUAGCUUUGAUUUCUUCUUCCAAUAAUGGCUUAUUCAUAUUCUUUGAUCAUUUAUCAAUUGGGGAAUGAUUCAUAUUCUUCAAAAUUUAAUUCAGUUCUCAAUGUUUCGAUUUAUGGCCGUUAGCUGAGAAAAUGGCUACAAAAAUUUUUUUUCCCAAUUUUCUGUUUUCCUUCUAGUCUUGGCUACAUUGACUUCAUCUACACAGAAAUUUUCUAAUGUAAUAAAGUGAUCCAUUUUAUGUCCCA